GGGGGAUAUUGCACAAUGGGCGAAAGCCUGAUGCAGCAAUGCCGCGUGAGGGAAGAAGGUCUUCGGAUUGUAAACCUCUGUUUUUAGUGACGAAACAAAUGACGGUAACUAAAGAGGAAGCUCCGGCUAACUACGUGCCAGCAGCCGCGGUAAUACGUAGGGAGCGAGCGUUGUCCGGAUUUACUGGGUGUAAAGGGUGCGCAGGCGGGACUGCAAGUUGGAUGUGAAAUACCGGGGCUUAACCCCGGGGCUGCAUCCAAAACUGUGGUUCUUGAGUGAAGUAGAGGUAGGCGGAAUUCCGAGUGUAGCGGUGAAAUGCGUAGAUAUUCGGAGGAACACCAGUGGCGAAGGCGGCCUACUGGGCUUUAACUGACGCUGAGGCACGAAAGCAUGGGGAGCAAAC
rnacentral:rRNA from 1 species